GGGCAUACAGCGGAAGAAGGGCUGGUCACCCGGGGGGGGGACUUGCUGAAUUAUUCACCCUUGUCUUUUGCGUACUUCUUGUUUCCUUGGUGGGUUCGCCCACCACUAGGACAAACAUAAACCUUUUGUAAUUGCAAUCAGCGUCAGUAACAAAUUAAUAAUUACAACUUUCAACAACGGAUCUCUUGGUUCUGGCAUCGAUGAAGAACGCAGCGAAAUGCGAUAAGUAGUGUGAAUUGCAGAAUUCAGUGAAUCAUCGAAUCUUUGAACGCACAUUGCGCCCUUUGGUAUUCCAAAGGGCAUGCCUGUUCGAGCGUCAUUUGUACCCUCAAGCUUUGCUUGGUGUUGGGCGUCUUGUCUCUAGCUUUGCUGGAGACUCGCCUUAAAGUAAUUGGCAGCCGGCCUACUGGUUUCGGAGCGCAGCACAAGUCGCACUCUCUAUCAGCAAAGGUCUAGCAUCCAUUAAGCCUUUUUUCAACUUUUGACCUCGGAUCAGGUAGGGAUACCCGCUGAACUUAAGCAUAAAU
rnacentral:rRNA from 1 species